rnacentral:rRNA from 1 species
UACGGAGGGUGCAAGCGUUAUCCAGAUUCACUGGGUUUAAAGGGUGCGUAGGCGGGCAGGUAAGUCCGUGGUGAAAUCUCUGAGCUUAACUCAGAAACUGCCAUGGAUACUAUUUGUCUUGAAUGUUGUGGAGGUAAGCGGAAUAUGUCAUGUAGCGGUGAAAUGCUUAGAUAUGACAUAGAACACCAAUUGCGAAGGCAGCUUACUACACAAAUAUUGACGCUGAGGCACGAAAGCGUGGGGAUCAAACAGG